UACGGGGGGAGCAAGCGUUGUUCGGAUUUACUGGGCGUAAAGGGCGCGUAGGCGGCCACCGCAAGUCAGUUGUGAAAUCUCCGGGCUUAACUCGGAAAGGUCAACUGAUACUGUGCGACUAGAGUGCGGAAGGGGCAACUGGAAUUCUCGGUGUAGCGGUGAAAUGCGUAGAUAUCGAGAGGAACACCUGCGGCGAAGGCGGGUUGCUGGGCCGACACUGACGCUGAUGCGCGAAAGCCAGGGGAGCGAACGGG
rnacentral:rRNA from 1 species